GAUGAAGAACACAGCGAAAUGCGAUAAGUAAUGCGAAUUGCAGAAUUCAGUGAGUCAUCGAAUCUUUGAACGCACAUUGCGCCCUGUGGUAUUCCGCAGGGCAUGCCUGUUCGAGCGUCAUUUCAACCCUCAAGCUCUGCUUGGUGUUGGGCCCUGCCCGCUGCGGCCGGCCCUAAAGACAGUGGCGGUGCCGCCUGGCCCUGAGCGUAGUACAUCUCUCGCUCCAGUGCCCGGUGGUAGCCUGCCAGAACCCCAACUCUCGUGGUUGACCUCGGAUCAGGUAGGGAUACCCGCUGAACUUAAGCAUAUCAAUAAGCGGAGGA
rnacentral:misc_RNA from 1 species